GAUGAACGCUGGCGGCGUGCCUAACACAUGCCAGUCGAGCGAACGGACGAUAAGCUUGUUUCUUUGAUGUUAGCGGCGGACGGGCGAGUAACACGUGUAUACCCCACUUAUAUUACUGGGAUAAUUUCGGGAAACCGGCGCUAAUACCGGAUAAUAUUUUGAACCGCAUGGUUCAAAAGUGAAAGACGGUCUUGCUGUCUCUUAUAGAUGCAUCCGCGCUGCAUUAGCUAGUUGGUAAGGUAACGGCCUACCAAGGCAACGAUGCAUAGCCGAACUGAGAGGGUGAUCGGCCACACUGGAGCUGAGACGCGGUCCAGGCGCCUACGGGAGGCAGCAGUAGGGAAUCUUCCGCAAUGGGCGGAAGCCUGACGGAGCAACGCCGCGUGAGUGACGAAGGUCUUCGGUGCGUAAAACUCUGUUAUUGGGGAAGAACAGAUGUGGAAGUAGCCGAGGAGAGCUUGACGGUACCUAAUCAAAAAGCAACGGCUAACUACGUG
rnacentral:rRNA from 1 species